rnacentral:rRNA from 1 species
GACGAACGCUGGCGGCGUGCUUAACACAUGCAAGUCGAGCGGAGCGGCGAACGGGUGAGUAACGCGUGAGUAACUGCCCCCCUCUCUGGGAUAACAGUUAGAAACGGCUGCUAAUACCGGAUAGUGGGGGAUGACUCGCGUCCUAUCAGCUUGUGGGUGGGGUAGUGGCCUACCAAGGCGACGACGGGUAGCCGGCCUGGGGGGGCGACCGGCCUGAUUGGGCUGCGAUACGGCCCCAACUCCUACGGGACGCAGCAGCGGGGAAUAUCGCACACUCGGGGAAACCCGGAUGCAGCAACGCCGGGUGCGGGAUGACGGCCUUCGGGUUGUUAGCCGCGUUCAGCCAUGACGCGGUAGUGGCAGAAGUAGCACCGGCUAACUACGUGACAGCAGCCGCGGUAAUAC